GCUCCGGUGGCCUAGUGUUAGAGCAUCAGCCUCGGAAGCGGGAGGUCGCGGGUUCGAUCCCAGCCGACUGAUUCA